AUUCAUGUAGUUUAACGAAAACACCCCACUUUCACUGGGGAGACGGGCUCCCCAUGAAUU
rnacentral:tRNA from 1 species